CAGUUUCGUACCACGUAAAUAACGUGGCACUCGUCAGAUAAAAUAGCCUAUUUUAUCUGAAGAGUGCCACGUUAUUUACGUGGUACGAAACUG